ACCUAAAAAGCCAAGGAGGACCUUGUGGUAUUUACUCACUUACUGAUUCAGUGAAUCACCAAAAAUAGCUACCAUGAGGUAAAUAAUCCUCAUGAUUGAGCGGUUCAUGUCCUGCAAGGAUUGCUGGAGGAUGAACAUCCCUGGUGGAAAUCUACAAGUGCAUUUGCCCAUGCAUAAAAGGAGUAGACAGGCCAUGAGGCAAUCAUGAUCGUCGCAGCAACAAGAGUUCAAAUAGAUUUUGUGCCGUCAGCUAUAAGCGGUACAGUGGGAAAAAUGUGUCGUUGUCGCUGAUGUCACACACGAUGCUAUCGACGCUGACAGCAUAACAUUCCACAUAUCAAAUUUUGAAUUAGUCGACACUAUUGAUCCAGUAAUAGCAUCGGGCGGUAUAUCCAAACUGCCCGCAAACAGUGCGAAGUCAACACAUCUUGAUUUGGUUCGACCAUGUAAUAGAUUCAUCAGCUGGCAACAAAAUCUCAGACAAAACACUUGCCAAAGACAUCAUAGAUGCAACCGAUUCAGCUCUAG